rnacentral:piRNA from 1 species
UUAUGACAUGUUCCUAGUUCA